GUGCCAGCAGCCGCGGUAAUACGUAGGUGGCAAGCGUUAUCCGGAAUUAUUGGGCGUAAAGCGCGCGUAGGCGGUUUUUAAGUCUGAUGUGAAAGCCCACGGCUCAACCGUGGAGGGUCAUUGGAAACUGGAAAACUUGAGUGCAGAAGAGGAAAGUGGAAUUCCAUGUGUAGCGGUGAAAUGCGCAGAGAUAUGGAGGAACACCAGUGGCGAAGGCGACUUUCUGGUCUGUAACUGACGCUGAUGUGCGAAAGCGUGGGGAUCAAACAGGAUUAGAU
rnacentral:rRNA from 1 species